CCCCUUGGUCCCUCCUGACUCCCCCUCCCUCCUGACUAACCCCUCUGAGAACAUGCAGCCCCCACUGACCGAGACUCCCACCCCUCACCGUGGACAGCUGCAUCCAGCUCCUGACACGGACCCUCACCCACCUACCCCAGGACUUGCCCUGCCCCUCACUAACCCCUGAGAACUAACCCUUACCCUCCCUCCCACACCUGGUGCCUGACCCCCACACCCUGCCCCAUGACUGACCCAUCACCCCAUUCACAUCUCCCCCCUGGAUUUUUUUAUUCAAUCAGGAAACCUGGAUGCACACCUGGGACACCCAGGUGUAGAAUGGCUCAAGCCCUCAGGGGUGAGCCAGCAUUUAAUCUGGUGUCCCCAUCAGCAUCCAGCACUAGCUGGGCAUAGGGAUUCCCCUGAGCAAACCCACGUCCCAGGAGCUCAGGGAGGUGGGGAACAGGCACUAACCUAGGAGGCUCCUGGCAGAGGUGAUCUAGGCUCAGAUGGAGGAGGCACAGGGAGGGCAGGAAGGGGUACAAGCAAAACUCUCAGGAAUGGGACUUAGGAUCAGAGGUCUGCAGUGGGCCAGAGCUCUGGCUGAGAGCCAGAGACCUAAUUCUAUCUGCUAAUGACUAGAGGAGCCACACAGGCAAAGCCUGGGAGACCAGGUCGCACAAGAAGGGAAAGCCGCAGCUAGAUGAGACGGGAAAGCUAGGCCAGGCUGGGGGCUGGGAACCUUGUCCAGGAGCCCAGGCCGGCAGGUGAGUCUGGGCAGGACAGGGGCAGCUCAAGGGGGCCUUGUGGGAAAUAGCUGGAAGGAGAGAUGAAGUCAGGAGACCGGUGAGGGUCCAGGGGAGAGGAUGAGGCCUGAAUGGAGCUGUGGGAAUAGAGAGGAAGAGAUGAGGCAGACAGGGGUCAGGGACCAAGAGGGACAGGGAAUGAGAGUGUGCAGAGGUGUUCGUGGAUGAAGCAUCCAGCGCUUAGCACAGGCUGGGAAGUGAACAUGUUCUGUCAUCCUGCAGAGCCUGCCAGCCCCUGGCUCCUUUCACAUAUCCAAUCAUUCGCUCCUUCAGCAAUGAAUUCUUAAGGGCAUAGUGCCAGGUAUUGGAGAAUCUGCCAUCAUGGUUCCCAGUCCAGAGCAAAGGUCGGCAAGCUGAGGCCCAGGGGCCAACGCAUCCAGCCAGCUGUUUUUGUAACAGAACUUUAUUGGGAUGCAUCCACUGUUUGACUACAAAGGCAGAGUGGAGGCCGCACAGCCCCCAGACCAAAAAGGCUCACUCUCUGGCCCUUUAUAGAAACAGUUUGCCAAACCCUGGUUGGAGGAAGCAGAAAAUAAGAAAAAGAUUUUUUUUCAGGUCACUUCAAAUAAGGGGGAUCUGUGGAAGCCUUUUAUGAGAGAUGACAUAAAACCUGAAGGGUGGAAAGAGCCAGCCAGGCAGAAGGAACAGCUAGUGUCAAGGCCCUCAGGUGCUGAGGCCAUCUGUCAAAGAAAUGACCAGGAGGGCAGCAGGGCUGGAGCUGAGCUGACCCGGGUGGGGGGAGUGCAGAGUGGG
rnacentral:lncRNA from 1 species